rfam:Morus notabilis contig12231, whole genome shotgun sequence.
AUACCUUUCUCGGCCUUUUGGCUAAGAUCAAGUGUAGUAUCUGUUCUUAUCAGUUUAAUAUCUGAUACGUGGGCUAUAAGCCCACAUGAUAUUAAAUUAAUUUUUUUAGGGGGAGAGCCCAUCACAAUAGCUUGCUAUUGGGGUUCUCGAGCGUCGCCCUUGUUUUGCACUAUCGCAUGGGCCUGGCGCACCCCAC